rnacentral:rRNA from 1 species
GCAUAUCAAUAAGCGGAGGAAAAGAAACCAACAGGGAUUGCCUCAGUAACGGCGAGUGAAGCGGCAAGAGCUCAAAUUUGAAAUCUGGCCCCUCCGGGGUCCGAGUUGUAAUUUGUAGAGGAUGCUUCGGGUGCGGCCCCCGUCUAAGUGCUCUGGAACGGGCCAUCGGAGAGGGUGAGAAUCCCGUCUGGGACGGGGUGUCCGCGUCCAUGUGAAGCUCCUUCGACGAGUCGAGUUGUUUGGGAAUGCAGCUCUAAAUGGGUGGUAAAUUUCAUCUAAAGCUAAAUACUGGCCGGAGACCGAUAGCGCACAAGUAGAGUGAUCGAAAGAUGAAAAGCACUUUGAAAAGAGAGUUAAACAGCACGUGAAAUUGUUGAAAGGGAAGCGCUUGCGACCAGACUCGCUUCCGGGGUUCAGCCGGCUUUCGGGCCGGUGUACUUCCCCGGGGGCGGGCCAGCGUCGGUUUGGGCGGCCGGUCAAAGGCCCCUGGAAUGUAACGCCCCUCGGGGCGCCUUAUAGCCAGGGGUGUCAUGCGGCCAGCCUGGACCGAGGAACGCGCUUCGGCACGGACGCUGGCAUAAUGGUCGUAAACGACCCGUCUUGAAACACGGACCAAGGAGUCUAACAUCUACGCGAGUGUUCGGGUGUCAAACCCGUGCGCGCAGUGAAAGCGAACGGAGGUGGGAGCCCCCUCGAGGGGCGCACCAUCGACCGAUCCUGAUGUCUUCGGAUGGAUUUGAGUAAGAGCGUAGCUGUGGGGACCCGAAAGAUGGUGAACUAUGCCUGAAUAGGGCGAAGCCAGAGGAAACUCUGGUGGAGGCUCGCAGCGGUUCUGACGUGCAAAUCGAUCGUCAAAUUUGGGUAUAGGGGCGAAAGACUAAUCGAACCAUCUGGUAGCUGGUUCCUGCCGAG